rnacentral:lncRNA from 1 species
CUUUUCUAAUGUGUGGAGGUUUCCACUUACCUCACCACUGGUUUCUAAUCUAAUUCUGUGGUGGCCAACAGCAUGACCAGCAAGUUAGUCAGCAUGUCCAUUAUCUCAUAUACUAAAGGUCUCUGUGUGUGUGUGGGGGGGGGGCUUAAGAUCCACUCUCAGCAAAUUUCUGAUGUACAGUGGGGUAUUAUUCACUACAAUAGUCAUGCUGUUCACUGGGUCUCCAGAACUGUCUUCAUAUCCUUUGACCAACAGCGUCCCAUGUCCCCACAAUCUGCAGCCGUCACCCUGAUCUCUGCUUCUCUGUUGGGAAUAUCUUCCGGUGUCUCCUGAAUCCACCUCCAGCUGAUGUCCUCUCUGUGGUGAAGCUGUGUUUUUCUUUGAGAGAGCUGGAGAUUAAACCUUGAACAUCCAGGCUACAGUUUGUCAACAAGAGAAGCCAAGGUGCCUGGAGGUGGUGGCACAUGCCUGUGAUCCCAGCACUCAGAAGGCAGAGGCAGAUGGAUCUCUGUGAGUUCGAGACCAGCCUGGUCUACAGAGGAGUUCCAGGACAGCCUCCAAAGCCACAGAGAAACCCUGUCUAAGAAAGAAGAAGAAGAAGAAGAAGAAGAAGAAGAAGAAGAAGAAGAAGAAGAAGAAGACAGACCCCGCCCACUCACAUUCUCUUAUCCUCUCUCUUUUACUCCUCUUACUCUCCUCUCUUCCUUUCCGAUCUUCUCUCUACCCCCCUCCCCCACCUUUAAUAAACUAUGGUUAAUGUACUCUCUAGUUCGUGUUCCAUCUCUCGGUUCUUUUCUAAUUAUUAAACUUUUACAAAAUAACAACAGACUGUUACACAGAGAAAUCCUGUCUUGAAAAUCAGAGAGAGAGAGAGAGAGAGAGAGAGAGAGAGAGAGAGAGAGAGAGGGAGGUCAAGGCAGGAACCUGGAAGUAGCAACUGAAGCGGAGACCAUGGAGGAACACGGUUCACUGGCUUGCACAGCUUGCUUUCUUCCACAGCCCAGGGCCACCUGCUCAGUGGGGCAGCACCUACAGUGGGCCAAGCUCUCUCUCAUCAAUCAAUAUUCAAGAAGAUGCACGCAGGCAUUCCCACAGGCUGAUCUGUGGAGGCAGCUGCUCAAGAGGGUGAUCCUAGUUUGUGUUAAAUUGGCAAAAAUAAUUAGCACGUCCCCCAACUCUCCCAACAACGACAGGGUGGGACGGGUGGCACGUGCCUGUGACUGUAGCUCACGGGAGGCAGAACUAAUGCGAACUAAGUCGGCCUGUGUUUCAGGACAGGUGAAGCUGCACAGCAAAACUCUGCAAAGACAAACAAAAAACCCAACAAACGACAAAAGAAAACAAAAACCCAAACAAAAAACCUCUCCAAAGAGAUACAAAACAGACUACCACUGAAGGGACCCUAGCCCAGGUGGCUCUGGCAGGCCUUGACCUUCUCCCCAAUUCCCACUGCCCUACUAAAAAUGUUAAGAUGAUAUUCUUGAAGCUAGCCCCUAAGGUCUAUUCCUUUAUUUGGCAGCUUCCUCCUCCUGAGGCUGACUAUCAAGGUUCAGUUAUCAAGUAUUGAAGUCCAGCAAUCAAAAGCCUCUUUGGCUCACCUAAUUAACACGCCCAGUUAAUAUUAAAUACCUUAUCCUAACAUGGGUUUCUCCUUAUGCCUUUAUAAAUGGCCAUUUUCCUAUGUGCCAAGCAUCUGUUGAGGAAUAUUAUUUUAACUGUGUAAAUGUGUGUUACAUUUGUUUAUGCUGCAUUCGUUUAAUUAUGUAAAGAUGUGUUGUUGUACCUUGCCUGUCUAAGGCACAUGAUUGGUCUAAUAAAAAGCUGAAUGACCAACGGCUAGGCAGUACAGGAAGAGGCGGGGCUGGAGGGCAGAGAGAAUAUAGGAGGAGGACUGUAGGUCCCAGAGAAUGAGAAAAGAAUGAGACAGGGAGAGAGGCGUCAGGGGUCAGGCAGCCGGAGGAAGCAGCAGGGAGCAGAGCCUACAGAAGGAAAGAAAAAAAAAAAAGCUCUAAAAUGUAGAUGAAGAGAAACAGGUUAAUUUAUUAUAAGAGCUAGUGGGACAAGCCUAAGAUAAGGCUGAGCAUUUAUAGCAUAUAAUAAGUUUCUGUGUCAUGAUUUGGGAGCUGGAUGGUGGCCCAAAGGAAAGCUUGCUACAGUCUCCUCUCUAUCUAGAGGCGGUCCCCCUCCCCCGCCCCAGACAAAUACCCCUGUACUCUUUCCCUUGCUCCCUUCCCCUUCUCCCCCAUCCUCUAUCUCUGCCUUUGUCUCUUAUUCCCUGCCUUCUGUCCCUCUGGGGCAAUAAAUCACCUUUGUGCUGAGAACUUGGUCUUGGUGUGUCUUGACGACUUCGAGGUUCCCUACAGCUAUGACAGUGCUUCAGAUAUGGACACACAGUGGCCAGGGAAUCAGGAGUUGACCUGUUACGAGUGUUCCUUCUCAAGCUAUGCUGGCAGACACGGCCCUGAGGGAGUUAGGGAAGCCCCCAUGGCUGUGCUGUCCAAUAUGGAAGCCAUUAGUCACAGGAAGCUGUGUUCCUGUCAUUGAGAUAAAAUGCCUGCCAUCAACAACAUUAAGGCAGGAAAGUCAUUUUGGCUCAUGGUUUCACAGUAGUGGGAACAUGUUGGCAAAGGCUGUGUACUUCAGGGUGGCCAGGAAGCAGUGACGUGUCCCCAAGUGACAUACUUCCCCCACAGGGCUCCACCCCGUCAGGUUUCCAGAACAUCACAAAAGAGACUGAUGGCUGUGGAGCAAGCAUUAAACACAUGCGCCUCCGGGUAGCAUUUCAUACGUAAACAGCAAUAGCUGUCUCAGUUUUCAAUGAAAUAAAAUGUAGACUGUCAUCUGCUGAAAAGGUGACUUGCUCAGUGGCACUAGCAGCAUUUACAGGGCUCAGUGGCACCUAUGGCUAAGGCAACCACAAUGCCCAGCGCAACUGAACUCUUCCCUGUACUGCUGCAACCUGCGCUAUGCGGAACAAGGCUUUCCAGUUUUGGUGUCUGCUUUGUUAGUGUUUUUCAAGAUGGUGGUGCAGACUUGUAACUCCAGUUACUCAGGAGUCUGAGGCAGGAGAAUCACAAGUUCAAGUCUUUAGCUGAACUACAAAGUGAGUUCAAUGCUGACCCAGGGAAUUCAGUGAAAUUCUCUCUCAAAAUAAGGGGGAAAGAGGACUGGAGAGGUAGCUCAAUGGUAGAAUGCUUGCCUAGCAUGUAUGGGGCCCUGGGUUCGAUUCCCAGUGCUGAGAACAAAACAAAACAAACCCAUUUGACUGGCAUCUGGGACAGGUGCUUCUUGUUUAUCUCCACAGUCUUCCAUCUUCACUGGAAACUUCAAGUUUAGAAACAUUCAGGGGUGUCAGGGAAACUCUUUUCAGCAGUGACAUUUAAAGCCAGGUGACAAGAACAGCAGUCUCAAGAGGGCAGUGUUCAAGGGCAAGUCUCACAAAUGCAUUCAAGUGUGUCCCGGCUGAGGUGAAAGAGAUGCACAUACCCCCGCCCCCCAGGGUGCCUCUCCUGCCCCACCCUCAGGGCUACUACCGUUUUGUUCCUUUCUCCCCUGGACAAAGCCCCAGGCCUGUAGCUCACCGCUCUCUGGCUGAGAGGCCUUUUGUGAACUUAACCAGGGCAGAAAGAAAACCUGCCUCUGAAAAGAAACGAAGUAGCAAACGCACAGAGCAGAACAAGAUGAGGCAGGGUGGAGAGGCAGGAGCAGGAUGGGAGCCGGGAUUGUUCGUUCCCUUGGAAUUCACUGGCUCUCCGAACACUGUGGGUGUCAACAGCAGGGCUUCCGGGCGAGUGAGCACCCUCCAUGCUUCCCUGCACUACUCAUCUGAGCUUUCUUCACGCAAAACCCCACGCCAUCAUUAAAAGCAAAGAACUGCACCCUGCAGCAUUAGUUUGCUUGGGUGUAGGUAAGCGACCAAGCUCUUCCAUCUGCAGACUCAGAGCUGAAGACAUGGGGCUGAAGUGGCGCAGUAGGUAAGAGUACUGUCCACUCUUGCACGGGCCUGGAGUCAAUUCCCAGCACCCACAAGGAGGCUCCUAACUCCAGUUCCAGGAGAUCUGAUGUCCUCUUCUGGCCUCCAAAAGCACUGGUGACACGUGGUACAGAGACUAUAUGUAGGCAAAACAGCUACACAUAAAAAUAAAGAAGAUAAACAUUUUACACAAAAGCCCAGGGGACAUGAAUGUCAGUGUUUUGUCGACAAAGCACUAACAGUUUUUUUUUUUUCAUAUGCUUACACACAGUUCAUGUAUAAAACAUGCACGCAGACAUACCUGUGUAUGUGGAGAGGUGAGAGGGAGAACACGCUCAUCACUGAGGUUGCCGUGUGACCAUGGGGUGGGGUGGUAAGCUGUAGCUGGCUGCCAGGCUUGGCAAGAGUUAGGGUUGUGGUCUUGUAUCUGGAGGUGGCUGGCAGCAGGAGUCUUUCUUUGAUGGGGCCUGAUCUUUCUUCCUAGGGGCCUUCACCUGAUUGGAUGAGGCCCAUUCAUACUGUCAUCCUCGACUCUGAUUGUAAAACAGCCACACUGUCAGCCACAGAGGUACAUGCCUGCACUCUGAAGGCAGAGAGACAGGUGGACGGAGAGAUUAAAGUCAGCCUGGGCUAUACAAUUCAAGUUUUAUUUUUCUAAAAGCCAAAUUGAGGCAUAAUUGGUAGGCAAUAAACUCAUUGUAGCCAACGCAUACAAUCUGAGAAAUCUGGACAAGUGCCUAAAACAGUACCACAAUCCAAAUAAAAGAGACCAUCUCCUUCAAGUGCUUGCCUGUGUACCCCAGCCUCACCCUCUCAUGUGUGGGUAGGAACAUGGUCCUGGAGACCUAGUCUUUUCCACAGUUUUAAGUGAGUAUACUGUACUUCUGGCCCUGUGCUGGGGGGCGCUCUCUAGAACAUACUCAUCCUGCACAACUGAAACUUGACAGCAAUGGAGUAACUCCCCAGCCUCCUCUCCCCCCACGCUUGCCUUUUAAAGUAAACCCAGCCACUAAAGUCUGCACACCAGCUUCCAGUGGUGUGUGCGGUGACCUGUAGCUUUCUCCAAUAUCUACAUUGUAACUCCUUUGGACAUGACUAUCUCUGGCAAGAGGUGGCCUGUCUACAAGCUUGUGGCAGCCCUCUAAUUGUAACACUUAGCUCUCCAGAGCUGCCACAGAGUCCCUUUGCACCCAUGAAGAUCUGGGUUUUGCUUUUGCUUUUUAUCUUCGUCCUUUUACUGCACCUGGCUGCUUUUAUCCACUCACUACCCUUACACUUGGGCUGCCUCAGGGUCUUCAAUGUUAGAGAACAAUGUCCCAGUGAAUGACACCCUCUCCAACUCGGGCACAAGUGUGCAAGCAUUCCUGCAGUACACAUUUCUUUGCUUACUGCAUCUUCACACUUUCCCAAAGUGGCUCCCCCAGGUUACCCACUCACCAGAGUUGAGAAUGCAGUUGCCCACAGCCUUAUCAGCACUUGGGAUGGACAGACUCAAAUUUUGCUAAGCUAAUGGUACACUGAAGCCAAGUAACUACUCACAUGUAACUACCUGUGUUUCUUUUAUUUUCUUUUGCAUUUAACUCCACCCUGUAUUUCUCUGUCUCUGGCUGGAUACAGAAGAUCUGAAGUACAGUCCCCAGGUAACACGGCUGUGAAGCUUUUCUAUACACUUAAGGAAAUGCACACAUAGACUUCUGAGGAUCUAGGAACAUAAGCGGGUUCCUGAUUCCUAUUUGUCUUUGGCUUCAAGUAUCAAAGGGCCACAUUAACAGUGUCUUAAACAAGUGGGCUGGAUGCUCAGCUAAAGCAAUGCUGAAGAAGUCCGAGUCUGCAGGAGAGGCUGUGGGUCCAUCCCACAUGCAAAACCCUACCAUCUUUCUCUGCCAUCCUUACACGGGAAUUAUCCUCAAGCUCAUCUGCAGCUCCAGGCUUCUGGAUACCAGGAAGGAACAAUGUCAGCUCAGAGACACAAAAGUUUUCAUAUAAAUAUGAGGCAAUCCAUGUGUCUAACAGGAAUUUCAGCAUUACUCUCACACUCUGAACCAAAGCAAGUAUUCUGUCAAUGAUAGGAACUAGGAAGAAGGCAGCUCUGGCUUACAACAGGUAUCUGGGAUGUGCAUUCUAGGGACAUUUUUUUUUCACAGUAGCAUCAAAUGUAUGAACACAAGUGAUUCAUUUGCAGACAUCAUGGGACACAGAGUUCCCACAAGUCUGGGAACUUUACAGGCUGCCCUUUUGCUCACUCGCUACUGCUCACUUUAGGAUCUAAGGUUCUCUUGUUUUUGCCCCUUUUCAAUAAUUAAACAAUAAUUUAAAAUGCUUCAACUGGACAAAAGCUUCCCUAUACACCGAGUUUUCCAUGCAGGCCUCUUGCCACAAAAAUGCAGGAAACUCAAGCAUAGGGUGUCAGAGAAAAGUGCAUGGGGCUACAGAAGAAAUCUAAUUUGUUUUUUGUUGUGUUUGUGAAAUAAGUAUCCUUUAAUGUCCCCUGUUACUAAGCUAAGCUAUGAGCGCACCUUAUUCCGUAGAUGAAGACAUAGCAGGAUGUCCAUGCAGGACCAGAGAAGGUGUGGUGCAGCCCACAGUCUAAAGCUAGGUCACGGGGAGGAGGUUUGGAGAAGGAAGCAGCAAGUAUAAGACUGCCCAGCAAUUAGGCUUCUCCAUAAAAGCAACAGCCAGCUUUGAACACUCAAGUAGAACAGGAGACACGGUAACUGAACGAUGCCUUGAGUUAGGGCCUGAGUGGUUAACUAUUAGGUGACCAAUCACCCUGGGAUAACAGUAAAGCUUUGAGGAGAGGUUCAGUGAUUGACAUUCCAGGUAUACCCUGACAUUGCCACUGCCUCUGUUGUGUCAAUGUCAAGUGUUCACCGUGUCUAGCAGGGAAGGUCUGAGGACCAUCUACUCCAGAGACCAACAUUUUUAAUUCCUAGCUGGGAGGUUUCCCUCUAACUUUGCCGGUGGCAAACUUGAACUAAGAACUUGAAUGAUGUACCCCCUGGCUAUCCCACAGGAUCUCUGAAAAAGCUACACACUCUGCAGUGAGGUGGGGGGUAGGGGUGGGGUGGAAACCAAGGAACCCUUCGCCCACAGCUUCUCUGCCUUACAGGGUGAUAUAACUUUUAUGUGAUGUUUGACUUUAAAUACUGGCUGCUGUCAUUUUAUUGGGAAAUACUUUUAUCUGGGUGUGGUGCUGCAUUCCCGUAAUCCCAGUACUAGGGAAGAGGAAGAACUGUGAGUAAUACAUCAGUCUGGACGACUACAGGAGACCCUGCCUCAAAAGGCUCAAAAUUAAAUGCAAACAUCCAGCAAAUAUUUUUCUUUCCAACCAAGUAGCACAUGAAAAUUUUCCACUGUGAUUUCCCCGAUGCCCCAGGACAUACAGACCUACUGACGUCAGACAGAACUCAGUUCAAAUCCCAGCUCUGCUGCUCAGCAGUUGUACAAAUGAGUUGACUCCAUCAAGCCUCAGAGUGUGUGCACCCUGCAGAGCCCAUGGGGAGGAUCAGGUGGAAUUACACAGGGGUUUGGACCAUGCCUGGCGAUCCUACGUGCUUGAAAGGCAGAUAGUGAUGGCAACUGUCCAUCUUUAAUCUCCCCCCCCCCUUUUUUUUUUUCAAUUCCAAAAUCAAAAUGAAAACUGGUAGGAUCUGGUCCUUGGCCUAACUUCACAAGCCUCUUCAGGAAUGCCCACUUUAUGUAACAGGAGGCAGCCUGAUGUAACAAGAACUGUCUUUCUCGCCUUUGCUAUGGGCACACAUGUGGCUGGGAGCUAGAGGAAACCUCUGCCUUCGCUCGGUUGCUGUGAGGGUGAAAGACAAUGUGCACACGUCACACCUGCCAUGUGGGACAUUCAGCAGGCACUAGCCCCUUCUCUCUAACUCUGCAGUUCUCCCAACUCUGCAGUCCCAGAGCUGAACCGCAGAGGGGUGGACCAGAGGAAUGGCGCUGCGUACCUGAGCUCUCUCUCCAAGGCCUGAGUCAGGCUUGCAUUUUCAUAGAUACUCAGAUUUACAAAGCCAAGAAAUGGUGAUGGCUUACUUGCCUCCAUAAAAGAGCAGAAACAGAAUGGCAGCUGCUAGAGUCACUGGCUGUGGACUGAGUCUUCGUCUAGGUGAAACCUGCAGACAGUGGGACCCAGGGUAGCAGUGAUUUGGAAGUGAUGGGGUUCUUUCUCACAUUGGCUUGGAGUGCAGUGGAGGAGCAGAGGUGAAGCCCGCCAGGUCUUUGACUCUGGUCGUGGUGCUGAAUGGUCCUAUCGGUGCCACACAGCUCCACAACUCCUAUGGCAGCAGAAGAACCCUCAGAAUAGUGAAAGUGCUGGAGAGAGAGUGAGCACAUGCCAGUCCUCCCUGCUAGCACAUCUAACAGCCUAUUGAAGCUGUUGAGUGUCCAUGACUUCCGUUAGAGGAAUAAGAUUCAGGAGAGUUUUUGUUUGUUCAUUUGUGUUUUGUUUUUAUUUUUUUGUUUUUGCUAAAAUUCCCAGUGCCUAAGCAUUAUCUAAACUAGUGGUUUUUUUUUAAUUGAAUUUUUUAUUUUACACACCAACCACAGUUUCCGCUUCUUCCUUUCCUCCCAUUGCCUCCCCCACCUCCUCAGAAAGGGUUAGGCCUCCUAUAGGAGUCAAUGAAGCAUGGCCUAUCAAGUUGAGGCAAGACUAAGUCUCCCCCCGCACCCCCCCCCCCCGAAUUAAGGUUGAGCAAGGCAUCCCACCAUAGGGAAUGGGCUCCAGAAAGCCAGCUCAUGCACCAGGAUGACGUAAGUGGAUAGUGACGUAAAGCAAAGGAUAACCAGGCUUCAAUCCACAGCUCCAGAGAAGCUAGGUAACAAGCAAGGACCCUAAGAGGGUCCCAUAAAUAGCCCUGGGAAUGGGAAAUAGACGAGGUCUCCUGGGUAAAUUGGGGACGGGGAACGCAGGGGGAUGGGGAUAAGGGAUGGGAACUUGAGUUAUCAGGAUGGCCGGGUUGGGGGAGAGAUGGAGAGGGACAGCAAUGAAAGAGAUAUCUUGAUAGAGGGAGCCAUGAUGAGGUUAGGGAGAAACCUGGUGCCAGGGAAACUCCCAGGAAUCCACAAGGAUGACCUCUAAGACGCCUAGUAAUAGAGGAGAGGGUGCCUGAGCUGGCUUUCUCCUGUAAUCAGAUUGAUUAUUACCCUAACUGCCAUCAUAGAACUUUCAUCCAGUAACUGAUGGAAGCAAUGCAGAGAUCCACAGCUAAGCACCAGGCUGAGCUCUGGGAGUCCAAGUGAAGAGAGGGAGGAGGGAUUAUAUGAGCAAGGGGGGAGGCCAAGAUCAUGAUGUGGAAACCCACAGAGACAGCUGAGCACAGCUGAGAGCUUGUGGGAGCUUUCAGACUCUAGACUGACAGCUGGGGAGCCUGCAUGGGACCAAAACACCAGUAGUGUUUUGAACAGUCAGAAUACAUCCUGGCUCAGAGCAAGCUGCGGGCAGGCCAGGCACAGCAGUAUUUCUUCAUGUGUGGAGAAUGACAACAGGCAUGUCAUGGGUUCCUCAGACAAUGUCCACUAAACCUGCUGCUUUUCAGACUGCUUCACAGACAAAGUGUGUGGGAAAUAGCACUUUGUGGCCCAUAUGUGCAGAGACCCUGAAUUAAGAAGCUUACAGACAGCAGGCUUUAAUGCCGGUACUCAGGAGGUUAGAGGCAGCUGGAGCUCAGCUCAAGGCUAGUUUGGCCCACAUAGUGAGUUCCAGGACAGCCAGAACUACACUGAGACCCUGUUUCAAAGAGAGAAAAAAUGUACAGCCUGCUAGCUGAGAAAACAGUAAGGAUGAGGUGUGUGGCCAGAGAUGACACGUGGAAAGGACAAUGACAGUGGCCUAUUGUGCCCUGAAAAGUAGACAGAGAAGCAUUUGGCUUUGUGUCUGUUAUGUGUGCCCAGGCAAGUUCAUGGGUACAGGGACAUGUAUACACACAUAUGUGUGUUUAGUAGCCAGGAAACCUCGGGGGCCAUUCCUCAGGAGCCAUCCACUUUGAUGAAACAGGCUCUCUCACUAGUUUGUAGUUCAGCAACUAGGCUGGGUUGACUGGCCCAUGAGCUCCAGGGACCUGCCCAUGUCCCCUUCCCCAGUGCUGGGAUUAUGAGCAGUCACCACCGUGCUCAGCUUUUUAAAAUGUGGGUUCUAGGAAGCAAACACACAUCUUCAUGUUUGUAUGACAAGUGGCUUUUCUCGAUGAGCUGUCUCCCCAGUACCAGAAACACACACACCUGAGUAUGUGAGGUCUAGAAAUGAGCUCCAUUUUGCUAUGAUGUCCUGGUCACAACUCUUGCUGAGUGUUUCCUGGAUUGUGUCUGUCCCUCCAAGGACUGCCAGCCAGGGAAUGGCUGCCUAAUCAUGGGCAGGUUGGGGCAAAGUAUGGUUAAUCUGCUCCGUGGACACCGUCUCCACUGCUUUGCUCCAGCACAAGUAGAGAUUGGAAUGCGGGGGAGGAGUCAACAAAAGGACACACAGGAAUGUGUCUUGGAGGUGCCUGCCAUGCCAGGAGCCCUUCCUCCGGUUGACCUGGGUGAAUAUUAGGAUUAACUCCUCACUCCCAUGCCUCCUGGGAUCUCUUCAUCAGCGGGCAUGUGCCACCACACUCGGUAUCUGGAGUGCUGGGGCUCGAACCCAAGGCCUUGUGAAUGAGUGCAUGCUAGGGUAAUCAUUCUACCUCUUAAACUGAUGUCCAGCGGGAAAACAAAGCACUUGUCAUCAGUGUAACUGCUUCAGGCAGGGCCU